AAAUCCAUAAUAAAAUUUACAGCAAACCUUCCAUAAAUUAGCAAGCACCGUUAAGUCGAUCAUAAAAACGUCGAGGGCUCUACAGGUAUGAUUGAGGUGGUGCCUGGGUAGGACCUUUAUCACUUGAGCAUAUAUAUAAAAAAGGCCCAAAAGGGUAAAAUGAAGGAACUAAUAUUGAUUCAGCUCAGAGAGGGCAAAAGAAAGAAAGAAAGAAAAAGAAGGCAAAAAUGUCGAGCAGGGAUCUCCCAGAAGAUGUGCUAAUGGAAAUCCUGUCGAGGCUGCCCGUGAAAUGCCUGGUGCGAUUCAAGUGCGUAUGUAAAUCCUGGUACGCUCUCAUCACAAACCCUGAUUUCAUCACCAAGCACCUCACUUGGGCGGCAACUUCCCACAAUCCCGGCCGUGGGGUCUUCCUUACGUGCGAGCACGAGAUUACCCGAACCCCAUGGGUCUCCCUCCGCGCUUAUGAGACCCUAGAGGUGUCCAGGUACGUUGAUAUAUCACAAUUCUUUCCUCAGGACAUUGACGACCUUGCAGUCUUCGGUCCCUGCAAUGGAAUCCUUUGUCUCCUUGGUGGGUUCGAGGAUCGCGACGACGAUGACGAUCGCGACCGUAGCAAUGGGCUAGUGUUAUGGAACCCCGCCACCAGAGAAUCAAAGCCGCUCCCUAUAAUCCACCGCCCGCCUGAGGUCCCCAAUUCCUUUGCUUUCACUUUUGGCUUCGGUUUUGAUCCCAAGACUAAUGACUACAAGGUGGUAAGGAUUCUCAACUUCGAUAAUUUGAAAUGCGAAGUUGAGGUGUACAGCCUGAGUACUGAUUCUUGGAGAGUGAUUAAUCCGUCUCUUAAUCCAGCUUAUCGUGUUAGUUCCCCUCGUUUCCCCUCAUACUCAAAUGGGGUUCAUCAUUGGUGGGCUUGUGAGCGUCGUAACAGGGACCACCGAUUGUUGCUUUCCUUUGAUAUGAGCAACGAGGUGUUCCAAGAGACACUGUUGCCUCCCUUAUCUGAAAGGCCUUCUCUUUUUGAGGCUAUUGCUGUUAUCAAUGACUUUGUAGCUUUGGUUUCUGUGUAUCAUGGUGGGGAGAGUAAAUGGUAUGAUAUAUGGGUGAUGAACGAGUGUGGUGUGAAAGGGUCUUGGUCUAAACUAUUCAAAAUCGGACCCCGUCCACAGCUUAGCAAUCUGUUAGAACUUCGAGAGGAUGGUUUGGUUCUACUAAGAAAUGGAAAUGGAUGGUUAGAAUUUUUUGACCCAAAAAAACCAGAACAAAGGGAUCUUCGAAUUUAUGGAAACUCCUUUCAGGUUGUUAGUUUCACGGAGACCCUAGUUUUACUAAACAGAUCAGGGGAAUGUGCUUCAUCAACACUAUCAGCAACAAGACAAUUCAGGAGAUGGUUAUGAAUCCUCUCUUGGGGCACAACAACAAGAUUCCACACCAUUUCAGUGAUACUGUUUCUGAUUAAUCUCAGAUGUCCAUAACCUAGGAUUUGGAGUUUCUGGAAUUAUGAUGAAGGAGAGACAGAAUGAAGUCAAGGAAAGCAUCAUUUUAUAAAGUCAAGCUAUCAAGGCCUGUUUUCCAUUUUGAAGUCGGGUUCUGUCUGUCAAUACAAAUUGUAAUGACAGAUGACCAGACUGGUUAGUGUGCACCUACACUGAACAGAAGCUGGUUUUAAAUUCAUGACAGAAUUAAGAACAGGGGGAUGUACCCAUCAUUCAUUCCAUUUU